rnacentral:rRNA from 1 species
UGAAGCGGGAAGAGCUCAAAUUUGAAAUCUGGUAGCCUUCGGUUGCCCGAGUUGUAAUCUAGAGAAAUGUUUUCCGUGCCGGCCCAUGUACAAGUCCCUUGGAACAGGGCGUCAUAGAGGGUGAGAAUCCCGUCCUUGACAUGGACCCCCGGUGCUUUGUGAUACAUUUUCAACGAGUCGAGUUGUUUGGGAAUGCAGCUCAAAAUGGGUGGUGAAUUCCAUCUAAAGCUAAAUAUUGGCGAGAGACCGAUAGCGAACAAGUACCGUGAGGGAAAGAUGAAAAGCACUUUGGAAAGAGAGUUAAACAGUACGUGAAAUUGUUGAAAGGGAAACGAUUGAAGUCAGUCAUGCUCUUUGGUAUUUAUAUCAUUGAGUGGGGUCAACAUCAGUUUUGAUCGAUGGAUAAAGGCACUAGGAAUGUAGCACUCUCGGGUGAACUUAUAGCCUAGCGUCAUAUACAUUGAUUGGGACUGAGGAACGCAGCAUGCCUUUAUGGCCGGGAUUCGUCCACGUACAUGCUUAGGAUGUUGACAUAAUGGCUUUAAACGACCCGUCUUG